UACGUAGGGGGCAAGCGUUGUCCGGAUUUAUUGGGCGUAAAGAGCGUGUAGGCGGCCAGGUAGGUCAGCUGUGAAAACUCGAGGCUCAACCUCGAGACGCCGGUUGAAACCAUCUGGCUAGAGUCCGGAAGGGGAGAGUGGAAUUCCUGGUGUAGCGGUGAAAUGCGCAGAUAUCAGGAGGAACACCGAUGGCGAAGGCAGGUCUCUGGGCCGAUACUGACGCUGAGGAGCGAAAGCGUGGGGAGCGAACAGG
rnacentral:rRNA from 1 species